AGUGGCGGACGGGUGAGUAACGCGUGGGUAACCUGCCUCAUACAGGGGGAUAACAGUUAGAAGUGACUGCUAAUACCGCAUAAGACCACAGCACCGCAUGGUGCAGGGGUAAAAACUCCGGUGGUAUGAGAUGGACCCGCGUCUGAUUAGGUAGUUGGUGGGGUAACGGCCUACCAAGCCGACGAUCAGUAGCCGACCUGAGAGGGUGACCGGCCACAUUGGGACUGAGACACGGCCCAA
rnacentral:rRNA from 1 species